AUGGCGAGGGCUUUCCCUAUGGGAGUGGUGGCUGCCGCGGUGGUGCUGGUUGUGCUGUUUACCACCGUGUCCUCUGCCGCCGCGCAGCCUCGACCUCCUCUGCCAAAGAACUCCCGCAUGAUCACCCCGGGGCGGUUUGGGAAGAGGGCUCAGGUGCUCUCCUGCGAUGACACCAAGGACGGGAACAGCCCAUGCGUCGCCACCUGCGACAAGCGCUGCCCCAAUGAGUGUGUUGUCAUGUGCCCAGGCUGCAAGACAUACUGCUUGUGUGACUUUUACCCCGGGGUGUCCUGUGGCGACCCGCGUUUCACCGGCGCUGAUGGCAACAACUUCUACUUCCAUGGCAAGAAGGACCAGGACUUCUGUGUCAUCUCCGAUGUUGACCUCCACAUCAACGCUCACUUCAUCGGCAAGCGCAACCCCUCUAUGAGCCGCGAUUUCACCUGGAUCCAAGCCCUGGGCAUCCGCUUCGCUGAUCACCGCCUGUACAUGGGCGCCCAGAACACCACCAAGUGGAACAACGACGUCGACCGCCUCGAGUUGGCCUUCGACGGAGAAUCGAUCAACAUCGCUGCAGACAUCGGGGCAAAGUGGCUUGUGCCUGGCCUGACCAUCACGAGGACCACCGUGACCAAUGGCGUGAGGGUCCAGCUUAAGGGUGUGUUUGACAUCAUUGCUAAGGUGGUGCCCAUCACGGAGGAGGACUCCCGCGUCCACAACUAUGGUGUGACAGAGGAUGACAGCCUCGCGCAUCUGGACAUCGGGUUCAAGUUCUAUGACCUCACCGACGACGUUCACGGUGUCCUUGGCCAGACCUACCGCUCUGACUAUGUCAACAAGCUCAGCGUGAGCGCUAGCAUGCCUGUGAUGGGUGGUGUGGCCAGCUACAUCUCCUCCGACAUCUUCUCCACUGACUGCAAGGUCGCCAGGUUCGGACUUAGCGCUGGCAUCUCCAUGGUCACCAGCACGGCGAACUAA
rnacentral:rRNA from 1 species